rnacentral:rRNA from 1 species
UACGUAGGGUGCAAGCGUUGUCCGGAAUUAUUGGGCGUAAAGAGCUCGUAGGCGGUGUGUCGCGUCGGCCGUGAAAACUUGCAGCUUAACUGUGAGCUUGCGGUCGAUACGGGCAUCACUAGAGUUCGGCAGGGGAGACUGGAAUUCCUGGUGUAGCGGUGAAAUGCGCAGAUAUCAGGAGGAACACCGGUGGCGAAGGCGGGUCUCUGGGCCGAUACUGACGCUGAGGAGCGAAAGCGUGGGGAGCGAACAGG